AUAUCACCUUGGAACGCUGGUUAUCGUCAGAUCACCGAAGUUAAGCAAGGUUGAGUCUGGUCAAUACCUAGAUGGAUGACUUCUUAGGAGUACCAAGUGCUGUA